rnacentral:rRNA from 1 species
GGGCGGCACAGAGGGAAGCCAGGUGGCGACACCGCGCGGAACCCGAAAGCCGUUCUCAGUUCGGAUCGAAGUCUGCAACCCGACUCCGUGAAGCUGGAUUCGCUAGUAAUCGCGCAUCAGCCAUGGGCGCGGUGAAUACGUUCCCGGGCCUUGUACACACCGCCCGUCAAGCCAUGGGAGCCGGGGGUGCUUGAAGUGCGUCGCCGCAAGGCGCGCCCUAGAGCAAAACCGGUGACUGGGGCUAAGUCGUAACAAGGUAGC